rnacentral:tRNA from 1 species
GCCGCGUUGGCGUAGUGGUAGCGCGUCGCACUUGUAGCUUGUGGGGCAUUCCAUGGCGCUAUGCGAAGGUCACUCGUUCAAUCCGGGUACGUGGCA